rnacentral:rRNA from 1 species
GCGGCGGACGGGUGAGUAACACGUGGGUAACCUGCCCAUAAGACUGGGAUAACUCCGGGAAACCGGGGCUAAUACCGGAUAACAUUUUGAACCGCAUGGUUCGAAAUUGAAAGGCGGCUUCGGCUGUCACUUAUGGAUGGACCCGCGUCGCAUUAGCUAGUUGGUGAGGUAACGGCUCACCAAGGCAACGAUGCGUAGCCGACCUGAGAGGGUGAUCGGCCACACUGGGACUGAGACACGGCCCAGACUCCUACGGGAGGCAGCAGUAGGGAAUCUWCCGCAAUGGACGAAAGUCUGACGGAGCAACGCCGCGUGAGUGAUGAAGGCUUUCGGGUCGUAAAACUCUGUUGUUAGGGAAGAACAAGUGCUAGUUGAAUAAGCUGGCACCUUGACGGUACCUAACCAGAAAGCCACGGCUAACUACGUGCCAGCAGCCGCGGUAAUACGUAGGUGGCAAGCGUUAUCCGGAAUUAUUGGGCGUAAGCGCGCGCAGGUGGUUUCUUAAGUCUGAUGUGAAAGCCCACGGCUCAACCGUGGAGGGUCAUUGGAAACUGGGAGACUUGAGUGCAGAGAGGAAGUGG